rnacentral:rRNA from 1 species
CGUGUAGGCGGUUUCAUAAGUCAGAUGUAAAAGCGUGGGGCUCAACCCCAUAAAGCAUUUGAAACUGUGGAACUUGAGUAGUGGAGAGGAAAGUGGAAUUCCUAGUGUAGCGGUGAAAUGCGUAGAUAUUAGGAGGAAUACCAGUGGCGAAGGCGACUUUCUGGACACAAACUGACGCUGAGGUACGAAAGCAUGGGGAGGCAAACA